AUUGAACGCUGGCGGCAGGCCUAACACAUGCAAGUCGAACGAGUGGCGGACGGGUUAGUAAUGUCUGGGAAACUGCCUGCUGGAGGGGGAUCACUACUGGAAACGGUAGCUAAUCCCCCCUACCAUCAGAUGUGCCCAGAUGGGAUUAGCUUGUGGGGGGGGUAACGGCUAACCAAGGCAACGAUCCCUAGCGGGUCUGAGAGGAUGACCAGCCACACUGGAACUGAGACACGGUCCAGACUCCUCCGGGAGGCAGCAGUGGGGAAUAUUGCACAAUGGGCGCAAGCCUGAUGCAGCCAUGCCGCGUGUAUGAAGAAGGCCUUCGGGUUGUAAAGUACUUUCAGCGGGGAGGCGUUACCCGCAGAAGAAGCACCGGCUAACUCCGUGCCAGCAGCCGCGGUAAUAC
rnacentral:rRNA from 1 species